rnacentral:misc_RNA from 1 species
AAGUCGUAACAAGGUUUCCGUAGGUGAACCUGCGGAAGGAUCAUUAACUAUUUGUGGUGGAAAGGCGUCAAAAACCUUUUUUUACCAUUAAUUCAUCCAUAAUGUGGGUCAAACCACAUGCGCAAUGUUUUUUAAGGGUAUUCUUUCGGGGGUAUUCUUUUUAUUUAUGAUAUGGCCUAAAAAACCAUAUUAUUAAUUUUUUUAUACUAAAUUUACUGAAUUAACGAUUGACCAUAAUUUAUGGUUGUUAAAAAAUAUAUUAAUUUAUAUAAAAACAACUUUCAGCAAUGGAUCUCUCGGCUUUC